AACUAGCUUUGCUUCCACCAUCAUUUUGAUAUGUCUCUCCAUGCUCAUUGACUUUUCACGAGUGUAAAUCAAACAUAUUGUCCUAUGAACUCUUCAAGAAAGUGAAAGUUGUCUCACUCCUUCCAUCAACUUCAUUAAAUUUAGGGAAUUGUUUAACCCACCGUAUGUCUAGGUUUUUUUUACACACCACCACGCAGAUUUUCAAAAAUGCCUUUGGAAAUCGAAAAUACAUUUUAGGAUGCACCAAUUCUUUAGAAAAUUGGGUUUUGGUGGACGAGACCCUGCGUAACAACUUUAAACUAACUGAAAAUACAACUACAGGUAGGAACCGGAGAUGUAUUUUCAGAAGCGCCUCCAAUUCAUAUGAAUUUUUUAGACAGGAGAACGUUUACACGCAGAAACAAACCAAAAAUACACUUAUGGGAUAGAACCAGAGAUGCAUCUCUGGUUUGUAUUGGCACUUAAAUGUGCGAUGUCUCUUGCCCUCCCACAGUUUAUGAACUUUUCAAAACAUCAAAAAAAUUCUCAAACCCUCUCAACCCCCAUUGUGUCAAAAUCAUCCAACUUUGCGAAAAGCUCAUCAGAAAUCAUCAAGCAUCACACACAUCAUUGUUCAAGCACAUUGAAUGAAGAAAAAUCAUCAAUUGAGUAAUGGCUGAUGAGAGAGCUUCUAGACUGAGACAUGACAUACUUGCACAACACGCUUAUAUGUGUAGGAAAAUAAGUCAGGCACCCUAGGCCCUUGCAUCUGGAUAAGUUGUGUCGAAUGCAUCUACAUCUCAGACUGAUCCUAUUUCUAUACCUACUACAUCUUUCUCCCGUAGCAGGAGAGGUUCUCGAGUUCACUCCUCGCACACGUCCUCCCGUAGACGCAUGUCGUAAUCUAUAGUAUUUAAGGCAAGAGAGGCAUAUGUCUCCCACCCGACACCGGAUGUCACAGAGCCUGAGGCACAGCCGGCUGAGGCAGCACCUACUACGCCUCGGGGUUUUGGAUGAGGGCCUUCUGAUUUGUCAUUGUUGAUCUGUACCCGGUCCAUGUUGCUAGACAUAUUUGGGACAAAGAGGUAUAAAUUUAUAAUUGUUGUUUAGUUAAUUUUGUCGAUCUAAUUUUUUAAUUUAAUUUUUGUUUAAUGAAUUUUGUUAAACCAUGUAUGCAUGAACGUGAUCCGCUGAAAAAUCAUUAAUCAUGAAAGGAAGAUCUCUAAAAUCAUACCUCCCGUAAAGCCAUGGUUUGAUCAACUCUUGGUGCUUCCAGGGUUGAAGAACCUGACCUUGUGUGGAUAGACCACCGCUAAUAAUGGUAUGAUUAACAUUUUUGUUGAGAGGUGGCACGAUGAGAUAUCCUCCUUCCAUCUACCGCAUGGUGAGAUGUCGAUCACACUCGACGACGUCGCGUGUCUGUUUUAACUUCCGAUAAGAGGGAGGUUUUUAGACCGUGAAAGGUGCGACAAAGAGGGGGGUUAGAGUUAUUGGUUGAUAAAGUGAGAAUUGACCCUGAGAAAGCUUUAGCUAAGAUGGAUAAGACUUGUGGUUCUCAUGUCAGAUAUAGUUGGUUGAAGAAGGUGUUCAAUGAUGAGCUUAUGUUAGCACAAUAAGCUCAUGGUGAUUUGGAGCAGGUCGCCUGUCACAGUCACAGUGUAUGUUGUGAGAGCAUACAUGUUAUAUCUGGUUGGCACUGCAAUUUUUGUGGACACCAAUGCCACUUACACUGAAAUCAAGUACUUGCGGUUCUGUGAUGAUUUUGAGCGGAUCCAUGAGUGUAAUUGGGGGAAGCUUGUUUGGUAUACUUGUACCAUAAGUUGUCUAAAGGCUGCAAGUGGAGGACGAAGCAGAUGACUGGCAGCAUCACACUUCUGAACGCAUGGAUUCUACAACACUUCCCAUGUGUCUCGGGUUGGUCAUUUGCCACAAAUUAUAGUGAGGAUCGUCUGCGUGUCGUUGCAUUCAACCCGCUCAAAGGGAACAAGGCGACAAAGUCAUUCAGAGUCUAUAUUAACC